rnacentral:siRNA from 1 species
CUAUUUUGGAUGUAUAGAAA